GUCCCUUUGGGGACAUCCAAUAAAAUUGGAACUGAUACAGAGAAAAUUAGCAUAGCCUGCGCAAGGAUGACAUGCACAAAUCGAGCAAUUUACAUGUCAUAA
rnacentral:snRNA from 1 species